CCUACGGGAGGCAGUAGUGAGGAAUAUUGGUCAAUGGACGAGAGUCUGAACCAGCCAAGUAGCGUGAAGGAUGACUGCCCUAUGGGUUGUAAACUUCUUUUAUAUGGGAAUAAAAUGUUCCACGUGUGGGAUUUUGUAUGUACCAUAUGAAUAAGGAUCGGCUAACUCCGUGCCAGCAGCCGCGGUAAUACGGAGGAUCCGAGCGUUAUCCGGAUUUAUUGGGUUUAAAGGGAGCGUAGGUGGAUUGUUAAGUCAGUUGUGAAAGUUUGCGGCUCAACCGUAAAAUUGCAGUUGAAACUGGCAGUCGUGAGUACAGUAGAGGUGGGCGGAAUUCGUGGUGUAGCGGUGAAAUGCUUAGAUAUCACGAAGAACUCCGAUUGCGAAGGCAGCUCACUGGACUGCAACUGACACUGAGGCUCGAAAGUGUGGGUAUCAAACAGGAUUAGAUACCCUAGUAGUC
rnacentral:rRNA from 1 species